GAGUUUGAUCCUGGCUCAGAUUGAACGCUGGCGGCAGGCUUAACACAUGCAAGUCGAGCGGGCGAGGUUGCUUCGGUAACUGAGCUAGCGGCGGACGGGUGAGUAAAGCUUAGGAAUCUGCCUAUUAGUGGGGGACAACAUUCCGAAAGGGAUGCUAAUACCGCAUACGUCCUACGGGAGAAAGCAGGGGCUCUUUAUGACCUUGCGCUAAUAGAUGAGCCUAAGUCGGAUUAGCUAGUUGGUGGGGUAAAGGCCUACCAAGGCGACGAUCUGUAGCGGGUCUGAGAGGAUGAUCCGCCACACUGGGACUGAGACACGGCCCAGACUCCUACGGGAGGCAGCAGUGGGGAAUAUUGGACAAUGGGGGGAACCCUGAUCCAGCCAUGCCGCGUGUGUGAAGAAGGCCUUUUGGUUGUAAAGCACUUUAAGCGAGGAGGAGGCUCUCUUGGUUAAUACCUGAGAAGAGUGGACGUUACUCGCAGAAUAAGCACCGGCUAACUCUGUGCCAGCAGCCGCGGUAAUACAGAGGGUGCGAGCGUUAAUCGGAUUUACUGGGCGUAAAGCGCGCGUAGGUGGCUAAUUAAGUCAAAUGUGAAAUCCCCGAGCUUAACUUGGGAAUUGCAUUCGAUACUGGUUGGCUAGAGUAUGGGAGAGGAUGGUAGGAUUCCAGGUGUAGCGGUGAAAUGCGUAGAGAUCUGGAGGAAUACCGAUGGCGAAGGCAGCCAUCUGGCCUAAUACUGACACUGAGGUGCGAAAGCAUGGGGAGCAAACAGGAUUAGAUACCCUGGUAGUCCAUG
rnacentral:rRNA from 1 species